rnacentral:tRNA from 1 species
GUUCUUGUAGUUCAAUGGAUAGAACAGACCCCUCCUAAGGGUCAGAUGCAGGUUCGAUUCCCGCCGAGAACA